rnacentral:rRNA from 1 species
AUUGAACGCUGGCGACAUGCUUUACACAUGCAAGUCGAACGGUAACAGGCCGCAAGGUGCUGACGAGUGGCGAACGGGUGAGUAAUGCAUCGGAACGUGCCCAGUCGUGGGGGAUAACGCAGCGAAAGCUGCGCUAAUACCGCAUACGAUCUAUGGAUGAAAGCGGGGGACCGUAAGGCCUCGCGCGAUUGGAGCGGCCGAUGUCAGAUUAGGUAGUUGGUGGGGUAAAGGCUCACCAAGCCAACGAUCUGUAGCUGGUCUGAGAGGACGACCAGCCACCCUAGGACUGAGACACUGCCCAGACUCCUACGGGAGGCAGCUGUGGGGAAUUUUGGACAAUGGGCGCAAGCCUGAUCCAGCAAUGCCGCGUGCAGAAAGAAGGCCUUCGGGUUGUAAACUGCUUUUGUACGGAACGAAACGGUCCUGGUUAAUACCUGGGGCUAAUGACGGUACCGUAAGAAUAAGCACCGGCUAACUACGUGCCAGCAGCCGCGGUAAAAC